ACAAAUCUAAGGUGAUUUAAACCAAACAAUAACCUCGCACUGACCUAGGUGCCAUGGGAGAUGAUGAUGAUGGUGAGAGUACAUACAAUGUGGCAGGCGUGGUGCUAGGUACUGUGUGUGUGUACUUACAUCUUCACAACAGUACAAGGUAGAAAUUAUCCCCAUUUUAGAAAGGGGGAAACUGAGGUUCAGAAAGGUUCUAUGACAUGGUCAAGCCCAUUGAAGGAGUAAAGAGCAUUGGUAUUCAAAGCAUUGUUGUCUGGCUCCAAAGCUUGCAUCCUUCUCUCUGCACCAGACUGAGAUUUAAAAAAAAAAAAGGCAGCAGAAGGUUCAGUGUUAGCCCUAAAGGAAAUUACAGCAGAAGACAGAAUGUGAUCAGGUUCCCGAGCGAGGCAGAGGUCAGGGAGGGGACGGCGUGGCAGAGCUGUCCAGGCGGGAAGGUUCUGCAGAGGAGCUCCUUGGGUCAGGCUUUCUGGGCUCCCAGGUCAGCACUGCUGCCAGGCCUGCUGAGGAUUUGAGAGCCGACUUGGACUGUAAUCCUGCUUUCCUCAUUUAACAGCUGCUAACGUGACCUUGGGCAGGAUGGUAAAGGGACGAAGAGUCUGAACACUAACAUCUGACAGCCUUGGGUCUGUGUCUCAGUUUGACUAACUUAUUAGCUGUGUGUCCUUGGGCCAGUCACUUAACCAUUCUGAGCUAUGGUUUCCUUAUCUGAAAUGAAAAUCAUAAUAGUCCCUUCCUUGAAGGGCUGAGGGGAGGAUUAAAUGUGACAAUGUGUGUAAAGUGCCUGGCACAGAGUAAUAGUGAUAAUAUCAGCCAAGAGUUAUCAAGUGCUCACCACAUGCUAGGCCUUGUGCCCCAAAUGCCUUAUGUAUAUUUUUUUAUUUAAUCCUGAUAACAAUACUGUGAAGUGGAUGCUAUUAUUAUUGACAAUGUAGAGAUGAGCAAACUGAAUCUCAGACUGGUUGCCCAAGGCCACAGGGCUGGCAGGUGGCACAGCUGGAAUAGAGACCACCCAGUAAAUGAGACUAAAAUUGAAAAACGAAUUGGAGGUGUGGGGCUUCUGCUUCAUGAGAUACGCUAGGGUUUCUGAAGACUUGAAAGAGGAUUUUUGCCACUGCUAUAGCCCAGGUGGGAGAGAGGAGAAGCACUUUUUCUUCUGAGUAGGAGAUAGUGGCUGCAGUGGCGGCAUUUCCUCUGCCUCCACAGGCAGCAAGUUGAAGGUUUACAGGAGCAAAGGAUUUCAGCUCUCUCUGGGCAAACUUGCUUUUCUCUCUGGAAAUUAUAAUUUGUCAAUCUUUGGUGAGCAAGGAUUCCUCCAGCCCAGAAAUUCCAGUUGAUAGCAUUUCCCUGUGAGCGAGAGAGCUCAGAGAAGCCUUUUGCAGUAGGCUGUUGAAGAUUAAUUGCCAAGUCAUCCAGGGGCUGAAAUCAUGUCAGGAGCACACACAUUUGGGGAGAGCCCGGAGCCCUGAAUUGGGGGCUGGGGUGUUAUAGAGCCAAAGUAUGGAGUGUGAAAAGCCUAUUGAGUCUGGAACAAAGAAUGGGUCCCUCCUCCUUCAUGCCCCAGCAGCUUCUCCUGGAGGACAAGGUAACCGGUCUCUAACACCAACAGGCAGUGCUGCAGAACUAAGGGCCAAGGGAAGCGUAUGCCGUUUUCUUGAAUAACUCUGGCUUUGCCCAUUGCUUGUCUGGAAAUCUUUGGUGGCCCCCAAAUUUCUCCAGAAAAGGUCUUUGGGUUGCAAUCUGUGUGAAGGUGAGCACACAGCUGUGUUUGCACCACGCUCUUCACAAGACAGAUGUAGUUGUCUGUAUCAGGUUGCUGACGGAGUGUUUCUGGGGCUAAAAACACUUCCGAGCUGUCUUUGUAGUGCCACGGUGAGAGUUUACUUUCUAACCACAGUUGUUGCAACCAUCAAAGGUGAAACAAAGUUGUGGCAGUAGGUGCCAUACAGCUGAUUUUUCAAGACAUUGGCCCCUCUGGGCUCCACUGCUAAAAUCAAGAUCUGAAAUGUUAGAAUCAGAUGGACCCCAGUCCAUCUAGUCCAGGGUCAGCAAACUAGAUUUCCAUGGGACAGAUCCAGCCUUGUGCCUGUUCUUGUAUACACAAGUUUUAUUAGAGAACAGCUACGCCCAUUCAUUUGGGUAUUGUCUAGGGUAUGUCUAUGGUCUGAUGGCAGGGUUGUUCAGCUGCAACAGAGAUGGCUAUUCUGCAAGGCCUAAAGCAUGUGUUCUCUGGCCAUUUAUAGAAAAUGUUUGUUGACCCUUGAUCUAGUCUAACCACAUGUAGAGACCCAAGGGCCUAGAAAGGGGAAGGGAUUUACCUAAGGCAGAAUCAGGGUCCAUAGCCUGGAGAUGUGACUCCACUCCAUGCCUCUUUUUUGCCACCACUGUCACCCAUUUCUGAAGCCUGACACAGACUCUAAGUAUGAAUCUUAGCUUGGGCUGAUCAGAUGAGUAACCUUGGACAAGCUACACACACUCUUUUGGCCUCCAUUUUUUUCAUCUGAGACCUGGGGAUAAUGCUUUCUGUUUUUUGAGAUAAUGCACAAUACAUAGGUGGUUGCAAGAAUUAUGGGAGCUAUAGUCUGUAAUGCUUAUGCUGGGACCUGGCUCAUAAAAAACACCUGGCCCAAAGUGGCAAGAUUAUUAUGUUGAUGUCCUCUGUAAUUUUAUGUGUAUUAAUCUUAUUCCUCCCUGCUCCAAAUUUCAUUAGAAAAAGGGAUACCUCUUCCCAGUGGUUCUUUAACUUUUUGGCCCCUAGAACUUACUGAGAGCUGUGGAUAUGUUGUUUUACUCCACAGUUUCCCUAAAUUCCUCGUAGGGGCUUCCUCAGUGCCAAGUUCCUGGCAGGGCCCCUUGACCAAUUGAUUUCCACCCUGUUUAUUUCUUAUUUUUGUUUGCCGAGCCUCUCUCCUGCUCACUCUAUCUUGGUGCAAACUCUCACUUUUGGGAAACAGAACUAAUCCAGUGUUUUACCAUUCAUCAUGGAGCAGAACUUGCACUGAAUAAAGUGAAUGGACGCUGGCCUUUCUUGUCUUCUCAGAGUUCACAGUCUUAAGAUGAAUAACAGGAAUGUCCCUCUGAGAAUGUAGAGAGUCAUGCCUGACAUUGAACAGUGAUGUGAGUUAAAUAAGGAAACACAUAAAUGCAUGACAUGCAUCUCAAGUUUCUCUAUCCUUCCUCUUCUUCCUCUUUUGUGCUCUUCGAACAAAACCAUCCAAUCCCUUCUGGGGGGUUUUCACUUGGGGUGGCCACCAAGUUCAAAAAGGUCUAAAGGAAGUGGUGGGAACCUUCUUCCUUGGGGGCAUCUAAAAAUUGUAUCUGGACAAAGAGUUAGAGCCCAGCUUUGGAGAGGACAGGCUGAGCCCCUGGGGAGCACGGCCAGGAAGUGAUGUCGUAGAGUGAUCUCUGCCUGCUCUGGCAGAGGUGACAGGGUAGGACCCUGGGAUGGGGGUGGGCAUGCUUGGGAAAUAGUGACGUCACUUCAGGCCCCAUGGGCACCGCAGGGAGGGAGGAGUGUGAGAAAGAGGCAAGUUUUCUUUGCCCAUCUCCACCAUGUCCUGAGGAAUGCCGGGACAGGAAAUGCCCAGCGUUUCUCAACUGUUUACUAGACGCCAGACAGAGGGAUUUGGAAGGUUGCCUUGGGAGUCAUGAAAAGAUGAAGAGAGUAGGAGGAGGAGUCUUGGUUUUCUGCCUCUUGUGAGACUGCCCUGGUAAGUGCUCAGGGGUAGGGUAUGUGGAAGAUUUUGUGGGAAGUUCUAGACAGGAGCACCUGGGAUAAUGGCAGUUAGCGCCAUCGUAUGAAUUCCGAGUUCUUGGAAGGGCUUUCAAAUAUCACCCCAAUCCUUUGGAGUGCUCUCCGACGAGAGGUAAGCACUGCCUCCUCUGUUUUAACUAUGAGUGCAGUUAAUGCCCCAAGCAUGUGCUGAGCUAAUUCAUAGGCAUUAUCUCACUUAAUCACUCCAAACUAAACCUGGUGAAAGACACUGUUGGCUCCAAUUUACAGGUGAGGAAACAGAGGAUACAAGCAAUUAAUUAACUUGCUCAAUAUUAUUCAGAGACAGGAUUAGAGCCAAAGUGGUUGACUCAAAGCUGAUACUUUUCACCUCUCAGGUAACCCAAGCUGGGCUGCAGGCUGACCUCACUGAUAAAGAAAGUGACAGGAAUUUCUGGGCACUUCAGCAGGCCAGAGCCACGGGGCAGAGAGGCAGAGAUUGUUUUGGUUUGUACCCUAUUGUACAAUGCAAACAAAGGCCCUUCUCCUGGGUUGGAUCUGAGGAUUACACCUCUUCUCUAACCUCUCCCUGGGAACCUCAAGUGAGGUCAAGGUCUUGUAUCAGGCUUGAGCCUUAAUUCUUCCAAGAAGAAGGGAAGGAGACCUGAUCCAAUAAUUGCCUUUAAGGACUGUAAAGGUUAUUGAUCCUAUGAUGGCAACUAACUGUUGUCUAUCUCAGAGAGGGGGGAGGGUGGAAUGGAAGAGAGAGAAUGUAGAUGUAGACUCCAAAGACAGCAGGAGAUAUGUCAGUUAGACCUAAGGAAGUAGCUUAUUAAACAUCAGAUCAAAUUCCAGCUGCUGCCCCUUCCUAGCUUUGUGACUUUACUUCAUUUAUUUAAGCUUCUGUUUAUUUGUAAAAUGGGGAUUUUAAUAGUAUUUACCCCAUCAAGUUGUUAUAAGGAUUGAAUGAGACUUUGGCAUCUCUAAAGCCCUCAAAACGUGGUCGUUAUUGUUGAUGUUUUUUUAUAAGCUUAAACACAUACAACAGAUUUCUCAGUAUCUGGAGUAUUUGGGUACAGAUUUUCCUAGUUGAUGUCUCGGUGAUACUUUCAACCCUUUCCUUGCCAGGUGAUAUAAUUGAUUUCUUUCUUUUUUUUCUGAUAUAAAUAGCCAUGAACAAAGAGUGGCUUGAAAAAUAACAAUAAUAGAAAGAACACUAAGUAACAUCUGUUGAGAGCUUACGGUGUGCCGGGCUUGUGUUCUGUGCUUUACAUGCACGAUCUCAUUUUAACCUAAGAGUUCUAUCAAGUAGGAGGAAAUGAUAUAUCUGGCCUUUGAGAAGCAACUUGUGAGAUUGGCUGUACCUCAUGUAGAGAGUCCAGGACUUGCUGAAAAUGUCUCUUCACAUAGAGAACUCAAAGUUAGGUUGGAGACCAACACCAGUGGGUGUUGGUGGGCUUGGGGAGUGCGGUGUGGAGGCGGCGGGUCCUGGGAACUUGCUGGGCAGAGGGGAAGGGAACCUGCUUGGUCCAGCGGGCUGGGGCAGCUAGCUUGCAGCCUGUAAUUCUUGGCCACUGGUACAAUUAGUGUCAAGAGGAACUUUCCCUGUUUGUCAGACCAAAGAGGCCCACAGACUAUAAACCAUCAUGUCAGAGGGCGACUGUUCGUGCCCAAGAAAGCAGGGAAGGGAGACCCAUGUGAAUGUCCACUAGCCCUCAAUCCUGCAAAGAGAAUCAGCUCCGUGAGAAGGAAAGAAGAAAAGGAGGGAAAAGGGCAGGGAACAGACUUCAGUGAAUACAUAUUUUCAAUUAAAUCCCAGGGGUGGAAAGUGAAAAGAAAAAAAUUAUUCGGUCUGGAGCUGUUUUCUCUCAAGUCAAGCUGAGGAACUUGUCCCUAAGGCUGUUAGACCAGCUCCAGGUAGAAAUAUUUAGACCUUUGUUGUUACCUAAAAACUUGAGAAUGUUCCUUCGCUCAGCCUGAGGACUGCCUGCUUUACCUCUUCUUGCGGCUGCUCCAUGGGGAACCUAGGAAUUCAGAAAGAAACAGGGAGUCAUUUAGCAGACAAAAGUUUUCCUACAUAGCCAGCGAUGUUCAAACUUUACUCAGCAUAAGAUUCCCCUGAGUGAGCCUUAACAUGCAGAUUCUUGGCUCUUAGUCCCAGAUAGUUUGAUCCAGGAAGUCUGAAGUGAGGCCCAGGAAUUUAUAUAUAUAUAUUUUUUUUUGCAAGAAAUCCAAGGAUUCUACUCCAGAAGCCCAGCAGGCCACAUUUUGUGAAACAUCAUUUUAGUCCAUCACCCCAUUUUGCAGAUCAUCAAGUGGAGGCCCAGAAAGUGCAAAUGAGUGGGCUGAAUGUCUCAGAGGGUGUAGGUGUUAAGCCUAGGUUGUACGAUUACCAAUACUGCCAGUCUUGUCUUGGUUGGACCCAUUAAAGAUGACAUUGGCCUCCACUUGCCGUGGCUUAUUCUCCUUGUCAAGGGCGUGUGGCUCUUCAAGUCUCGAGCCAGAGUCCCUUCCUCAGGGAAGACAGUCUUGUCCCUCCCCAUCUCAGUCCAGGUGAGGUUCCUUUCCUGACUGCUCUCAGAAAACCAUAUCCCUGUUCUCAGAGCAUUCCCCCUGGCUUGUGUUUACUCACUCCUCCCUGUGGUUAUUGGAUCAAUAGCUCCCUCCCUCCCUAGACUUCAGGCUCAGUGAGAGCAGGCAGGGUGUUUCUUCUUGCACAUCCCAGGGGCUAAUACACUGUUAGAUGGCUCAUAUGUGUUCAAUAAAUAUUUAUUAGAUGAAUAAGAGAAUGAAUGAGUGAAUAAAAGUCUUAACCGAGAGUCAAAAUUAAGAAGAAUUUGUGAAACUUGUGCCCUUUGAUGGGGUUUCUCUUUUUAGACUUUUUUGGGGGUUCUCUCUUUUUUGGUCCUUUUUUAGGGCUGUACCUGUUGCAUAUGGAGGUUCCCAGGCUAGGGCUUGAAUCAGAGCUAUAGCCGCUGGGCUAUGCCACAGCCACAGCACUGUAGGAUCUGAGCCACGUCUGUGACCUAUACCACAGCUCAGAUCCAAUAACCCACUGGCCAGAUCCUUAAUGCCAGAUCCUUAACCCACUGAGCGAGGCCAGGGAUCGAACCUGCAUCCUCAUGGUUGCUAGUCAGAUUCGUUUCCACUGAGCCAUGAUGGGAACUCCAGGGGGUUCUUGUUUUUGACCCAGGUUUUUGAUGCCAACCUCUAAUCCCAUCCCUAAAACCGGCGCUUCUUGUAGGCAAAAUUGUGUAGAAAGUUUGCUCUGUUUGAUUGUCUCUCUGUUUAUUUCUUUAAUCUAUCUUCUCAUGCUCUCUGGCAGGUGUGAGGUUAUAGCUCACUGUGGUUUUAAUCUGCACUUCCCUGAUGAUUAGUGAUGGUGAGCAUAUUUUCUUCUGUUUGUUGGCCAUUUGUAUGUCUUCUUUGGAAAAAUACCUAUUUAGCUCCUCUGCCCUCUGCCCAUGUUUUAAUUGAGUUGUUUGUUUUUUGAUGUUGAUUUGUAUGAGUUUGCUGUAUAUUUUGGAUAUUAACCUCUUAUUGGAUGGUUUUUUUUUUUUUUGCAAAUAUCUUUUCCCAUUCAGUAGGCUAUUUUUUUGUUUUAUUGAUAGUUUCUUUGAGGUGCAAAAGCUUUUUGGUUUGAUAUACUCCCAUGUGUUUAUUUUUGCUUUUGUUCCAUAUUAUAAAGACAACAAAUAACAAAUGUUGGCAAGGAAGCAGAGAAGAGGGAACCCUCUUACACUGUUGGUAGAAAUGGAAAUUGGUGCACAGAACGGAGGAUCUUCAAAAAUUAAAGACAGAACUGCCAUAUAAUCCAACAAUUGAACUUCUGGAUUUUUACCCAAAGAAAACAAAAACAGUAAUUAGAAAAGAUAUAUGCAUUCCAAAGUUCAUUGCAGCAUUAUUUACAAUAGGCAAGAUAUGGAAGCAACCUAAGAGUCCACAGACAGAUGAAUGGAUAAAGAUAUGAUAUAUGUAUACACCUACAACACACACACACCACACAGGAAUAUUACUCAGCUAUAGAAAAUGAAAGCUCGUUGGGAGUUUCCUUCAAGGCUCGGGGGUUAACAAACCUGACUAGGAUCCAUGAGGAUGCAGGUUCGAUCCCUAGCCUCACUCAUUGGCUUAAGGAUGCAGCAUUGCCAUGAGCUCUGCUAUAGGUCUCAGACAUGGCUUGGAUCUGGCAUUGCUGUGGCCAGCAGCUGUAGCUCUGAUUCGACUCCUAGCAUGGGGACUUCCAUAUAUAGGUGAGGCCCU
rnacentral:lncRNA from 1 species